CCUACGGGUGGCUGCAGUGAGGAAUAUUGGUCAAUGGGCGAGAGCCUGAACCAGCCAAGUCGCGUGAAGGAUGAAGGAUCUAUGGUUUGUAAACUUCUUUUAUAUGGGAAUAAAGUGAGGAACGUGUUCCUUUUUGUAUGUACCAUAUGAAUAAGCAUCGGCUAACUCCGGGCCAGCAGCCGCGUGAAUACGGAGGAUGCGAGCGUUGUCCGGAGUUAUUGGGUUUAAAGGGGGCGUAGGUGGUUAAUUAAGUCAGCGGUGAAAGUUUGUGGCUCAACCAGAAGAUUGACGUUGAUACUGGUAGACGUGAGGAUAGUUGAGGGAGGCGGAAUGCGUGGUGUAGCGGUGAAAUGCAGAGAUAUCAAGCAGAACACUGAUGGCGAAGGCAGCUUACUAAACUAUAACUGACACUGAGGCACGAAAGCGUGGGGAUCAAACAGGAUUAGAUACCCCGGUAGUC
rnacentral:rRNA from 1 species